UGACAACGUUUUCGACGUAAAAAAUGAGGGAGUAAGGAAAGAAAAUGUGGUAAAAAGUGGGGUAUUAUCUUGUAAUAUUUCCAGUUUUUCCAAAUUUUCUAAUGGAAAAGGGGAAAAAGGUAAGAACAGGGGUAGAAUAAGAAAUGGACAUAGAGAAAUUGGAAAUUUGUGGACAAAGGUUAGAGAGGGAACAGUACGGAAAUUUAACAAGAAUACCGAGCUUUUUGGGUUACUACACUGUGCGUGCUCCCAGACUGCAUCUUAUCUGCCAAAAUUCAAACUUCCAAUGUAUUCAAUCUCGCAGUACACAUACCGGAUACCGUAGUAAAUUAGUAAUACAUAAUUCAUAAACACCUUUCCGUUCAAUUCUAUGUUCUAUGUAUUAUACGGAGUCAUCAAGGAUAGGGCUAACAGGAUAGGAGAGAACGAACCAAUGGUCUUUUAAUACCCGUGGUACAGUGUUUCCUAUAAACUCUCUCUCCCCUUUACAUAUUUGUGCGAGUUGGAACUUGGAAGACUUUGAGUCGAAAAUUGUUUAAUUAUUUAAUAUUUAUAACCCGUGCAAAUGUAUUUAAGAAUAAAUCUUUGCAAAAUAACAUACCGGUC